rnacentral:lncRNA from 1 species
UUGAACCCAAAAAGCCAUUUUUCUCACUUGCACACACACACACACACAUUUAUUUUCCGAAUACACCAUUGUAAUAAUGAAUGCAGUUAAGUAGUAAUUUCCUAAGCAUUCUAGCGGUGGUUAUCGACUAAAUAGAGCGUGUCAUGUUUACAGACAACCAUAGGAUAACAAGGAAUGUUCAUAACAAUCAAGGGGUGGCUAUCCAACCAUAUCUUGCAAUGAAAUAAUAUGCGUUUUGUAAAACAGGCCAAUAGGUUGUGUUUGAAAACUAGGUAUUAAGUAUGCAUCAAAGGGUGAGAUUGGACUUGCCGUCUUCAAAGCCUUUCGGGAGUUCCAGCUCGUGCUGCUGGUCCUCGGGCUCGGGCUCGUGGUCAAACACCUCCUCGGGAUCUUCCUCGGGCAAUCCACGAUUUACGGCACACACAAACGGACACACAAAUAAAUAAAAGAAAGAUCAGUUUUUAACCGUGAGCUUCGAACAGAAAACGUGAACGGAAAUUUGGAGAUGGAUCGGCGAAAGUAUUUCGGAGGAUGACGUGGUAAAAUUUGGGAUCAAUUGGAGGAAGUUUGGCGCAUGAACUGACGGGUUAAGCAUGAAUUAGGGGCUUAAAUAGGAGGUUUGGGACUGAUUUGUAAUAAACCACGGACCUAUUUGUGAAUAAUUUUGGAGGUGGAGGGGUUUAUCCGCGAAUAGGAUUAUGAGAGUGGUGGAAGGACUAUUUCGCGAAUAGCAGAUUCUUUGGGGGUUAGAUUGGAAUUUUGUGGUUUCUGCUUCCUUCCUCUCCAGGAACUUGGAGAGGGAGAGAGAGAGAGUGUGGGGGUUGACCGGCGGCGAGCCG